rnacentral:rRNA from 1 species
UACGGGGGGAGCAAGCGUUGUUCGGAUUUACUGGGCGUAAAGGGCGCGUAGGCGGCCACCGCAAGUCGACUGUGAAAUCUCCGGGCUUAACCCGGAAAGGUCAGCCGAUACUGCGGGGCUAGAGUGCAGAAGGGGCAACUGGAAUUCUCGGUGUAGCGGUGAAAUGCGUAGAUAUCGAGAGGAACACCUGCGGCGAAGGCGGGUUGCUGGGCUGACACUGACGCUGAGACGCGAAAGCUAGGGGAGCGAACGGG